UAAAAACACUAAUAAAGCUAUUUACUGCUUCUAAACAAUUUCUUUAUUGGUUUUAGCCUCUUUUAAGAGAAAUUUGAUGUAAGUGUUCUCUAACCACUCCUAAUCUAUCUCUAACUCUUAUAACUAGUCAAAAUGCAUUGGAUUGUGUCACAUUUUGACCACAAACACACUAACAAAACUGUUUACUGUUUCUAAGAAAUUGUUUGUUAGUUUUAGCCACUUUUGAGAGAAAAUGGGUAUAAGUAUUGUCUAAACACUCUUAAUCUAUCUCUAACUCUUAUAAUUAGUCAAAUGCAUUAGAUUGUGACAAAUUUUUACAAUAGAAACACUAACAAACCUAAUUACUGCUACUAAGCAAAUUUUUGUUAGUUUCAGCCUCUUUUGGGAGAAAAUGGGUAUAAGUGUUUUCUAAAUACUCCUAAUCCAUCUCUAACUCUUAUAAUUAUUCAAAUGCAUUGGAUUGUGACACAUUUUGACCAUAAAAACACUAACAAAACUGUUUACUACUUCUAAGCAAUGUUUUGGUUGUUUUAGCCUCUUUUGGGAGAAAAUGGGUAUAAGUGUUGUCUAAACACUCCAAAUCCAUCUCUAACUCUUCUAAUUAGUCAAAGGCUUUGGAUUGUGACACAUUUUGACCAUAGAAACACUAACAAAGCAAUUU
rnacentral:sRNA from 1 species